CCCUGACUGUGCCUCAACAAAACUGGAAUGUGAUGUCAUUUUGUUAAAUCUUUAAAGGGACACUAGAGUCACUCAAACAACGUAAACUUAAUGAAGCAUUUUUUGUGUAUAGAUCAUUAAGCCCAAUAAAUUUAAGACAUGUUAUAGGUGAUUUUAAAUAUUUUGUUGAAAUUUUGACGUUGUUUUACUGUUACUACUUGUGACACUGUACAUUAAGAGGUCAGUAACAAAAAGAAAAUGCCUGAAGCAAAACCCUAAAAAAAAAAACACUGAACAUGACCUGACCGAUAAAAUCUGAUGGCUUCCACAAGAAAGAGAGAUCCUUACAUCCCAUAAUACCUUUGCAGCUGGAUUCACUAUUCAGGGCUCUGAUAUUCCUGAGAAAGGCAGAAUCUUUUCUUUUUUUCUUCCAUUUCCAGAGCGAGUUGAGUUGUGAAUUAAAAAAGGUUAUAUUAAAGGGACUCUCCAGUGCCAGGAAAACAAUCUGUUUUCCUGGCACUGCAAGUCCCCUCUGCCUCCCAACCCCCAAUCCCCAGUUGCUGAAGGGGUGAAAACGCCUUCAGUAACU